AUAUACGACCAUACCCACUGGAAUAUACGGGAUCCCGUCCGCUCUCCCCUAGUCAAACCAGUGAGGGCCGAACUAGUACUCAGGUGGGUGACCACUGGGGAAUCCUCGGUGUUGUAUGUUUUA
rnacentral:rRNA from 1 species